rnacentral:tRNA from 1 species
AUUUAUAUAGUUUAUAAAAACAUUACAUUUUCAUUGUAAAAUUAGAAGCUAAUUCUUAUAAAUA